GCGGCACGAGUGAGAAUGCAGGCAUGAGUAGCGAAAGAAGGGUGAGAAACCCUUCCGCCGGAUGACCAAGGGUUCCAGGGCCAGGCUAAUCCGCCCUGGUGAGUCGGGACCUAAGGCGAGGCCGAGAGGCGUAGUCGAUGGACAACGGGUUGAUAUUGAGCAGCGAGAAGGUGGCGAUGCCGGCGCGGCGCAGCCGUUCGGCGAGGAUCCCGGCGUGCUCGCGGACACUGACCCGGACCAUGUGCACGUG
rnacentral:rRNA from 1 species